CCUAAAUACUACCCAGUGACCGAUAGCGUAUAGUACUGUGAAGGAAAGGUGAAAAGCACCCCGGGAGGGGAGUGAAAAAGAACCUGAAACCCUGUGCCUACAAGCACCUAGAGCGCGUCAAUGCGUGAUAGGGUACUUUUUGUAGAACGGUCCGGCGAGCGAUUGUAUGCAGCAAGGUUAAGGACUUAAGGUCUGGAGCCGAAGCGAAAGCGAGUUUGAAAAGGGCGUUAAGUUGCAUAUAAUGGGCCCGAAACCGGGUGACCUACCCAUGGUCAGGUUGAAGUGGAAGUAAAAUUCCAUGGAGGACCGAACCGACCUCCGUUGAAAAGGCGGCGGAUGAACUGUGGGUAGCGGAGAAAUUCCAAUCGAACCCGGAGAUAGCUGGUUCUCCCCGAAAUAGUUUUAGGACUAGCCUCAAGUUAGAUACCUGGAGGUAAAGCACUGAAUAGCCUAGCGGCCGAGAGGUUAGCGAAGCUUAUCAAACUCAGAAUGCCAGAGUAUUGAUGCUUGGGAGUCAGACAGUGUCAGAUAAAUGUCAUUGUCAAAAGGGAAACAGCCCAGAUCUACAGCUAAGGUCCCAAAGUCAGGUUAAGUGGAAAACGAUGUGAAGAUACGCAGACAACCAGGAUGUUGGCUCAGAAGCAGCCACUCAUUCAAAGAGUGCGUAAUAGCUCACUGGUCGAGCGUCUUUGCGCGGAGAAUUUAACGGGGCUAAACCUGACACCGAAGCUUAGGCAAUCCAGCAAUGGAUUGGGUAGGGGAGCGUUGUAUACGCGGAGAAACAGUAGCGUAAGCGGCUGUGGAGUGUAUAGAAGUGAGAAUGCCGGAAUGAGUAGCGCGAAUGCAGUGAGAAUCUGCAUGGCCGAAAGCCUCAGGUUUUUGGAGGAAGGUUCGUCCGCUCCAAGUUAGUCGGGAGCUAAGGUGAGGCCGGAAGGCGUAGCCGAUGCACAGACGGUAGAGAUUCCGUCACCACCAAAAGAGUUAAGCACAGGGACACAUUUGAAGUCUCAGAGCCGGGUGUUGGUUCCGGUAGAGAUCGAGGGAAGUUAGUACCGAAGUCUGGGAUGGAAGAUGGCGAGAAAAGCUGUGUGUAUUUCUGAGGUGCCCGUACCGCAAACCGACACAGGUAGGUAGGAAGAAGAUUCUAAGGCCAACGGGAGAAGGGUUGUUAAGGAACUCGGCAAAUUGACCCCGUAACUUCGGGAGAAGGGGUGCUCCAGAGAUGGAGCCGCAGAGAAUCGGCCCAAGCAACUGUUUACCAAAAACACAGGUUUGUGCUAAAUCGAAAGAUGACGUAUACGAGCUGACGCCUGCCCGGUGCUGGAAGGUUAAGAGGAGAUGUGCAAGCAUUGAAUCGAAGCCCCAGUGAACGGCGGCCGUAACUAUAACGGUCCUAAGGUAGCGAAAUUCCUUGUCAGGUAAGUUCUGACCCGCACGAAAGGCGUAAUGAUUUGGGCACUGUCUCAACAGCCCGCCCGGCGAAAUUGUAGUACCGGUGAAGAUGCCGGUUACCCGCGACAAGACGGAAAGACCCCAUGGAGCUUUACUGUAGCCUAAUAUUGGGUUUCGAUGUUGCAUGCACAGGAUAGAUGGGACACUGGGAAACAAUCGCUUUGGCGGUUGCGGAGUGGCCGUUGGGAUACCAUCCUUGCGAUAUUGGAAUUCUAACCUGCGGCUCUGAAUCGAGUCGGGGGACAUUGUUAGGUGGGCAGUUUGACUGGGGCGGUCGCCUCCUAAAAAGUAACGGAGGCGUUCAAAGGUUCGCUCAGCUUGAACGGAAAUCAAGCAAAAGAGUGCAAACGCAGAAGCGAGCCUAACUGCGAGACUGACGGGUCGAGCAGUAACGAAAGUUGGAGUUAGUGAU
rnacentral:rRNA from 1 species